rnacentral:rRNA from 1 species
UGGGGAAUUUUGGACAAUGGGCGAAAGCCUGAUCCAGCAAUGCCGCGUGUGUGAAGAAGGCCUUCGGGUUGUAAAGCACUUUUGUCCGGAAAGAAAUCCUCUGGGUUAAUACCUCGGGGGGAUGACGGUACCGGAAGAAUAAGCACCGGCUAACUACGUGCCAGCAGCCGCGGUAAUACGUAGGGUGCAAGCGUUAAUCGGAAUUACUGGGCGUAAAGCGUGCGCAGGCGGUUUUGUAAGACGGAUGUGAAAUCCCCGGGCUUAACCUGGGAACUGCAUUCGUGACUGCAAGGCUAGAGUAUGGCAGAGGGGGGUAGAAUUCCACGUGUAGCAGUGAAAUGCGUAGAGAUGUGGAGGAAUACCGAUGGCGAAGGCAGCCCCCUGGGCCAAAUACUGACGCUCAUGCACGAAAAGCGUGGGGAGCAAAACAGGAUUAGAUAACCCUGGUAGUCCACGCCCUAAAACGAUGUCAACUAGUUGUUGGGGAUUCAUUUCCUUAGUAACGUAGCUAACGCGUG